rnacentral:rRNA from 1 species
AAAACCUUACCCACCUUUGACAUGGCAGGAAUCCUUUAGAGAUAGAGGAGUGCUCGAAAGAGAACCUGCACACAGGUGCUGCAUGGCUGUCGUCAGCUCGUGUCGUGAGAUGUUGGGUUAAGUCCCGCAACGAGCGCAACCCUUGCCAUUAGUUGCUACGAAAGGGCACUCUAAUGGGACUGCCGGUGACAAACCGGAGGAAGGUGGGGAUGACGUCAAGUCCUCAUGGCCCUUAUAGGUGGGGCUACACACGUCAUACAAUGGCUGGUACAAAGGGUUGCCAACCCGCGAGGGGGAGCUAAUCCCAUAAAGCCAGUCGUAGUCCGGAUCGCAGUCUGCAACUCGACUGCGUGAAGUCGGAAUCGCUAGUAAUCGUGGAUCAGCAUGUCACGGUGAAUACGUUCCCGGGUCUUGUACACACCGCCCGUCACACCAUGGGAGCGGGUCUCGCCAGAAGUAGGUAGCCUAACCGCAAGGAGG